rnacentral:lncRNA from 1 species
GUUGAUGUCAGUAUAUCUCAACUUUUGCAAAACCAGUUGAGUUUUAUAAGAGAUAAGUAUAUGAAGAAACUAGAUACAUUGGGAAGGCCUCCUGAUGACAGCAAGUAUGUUAUACCAACGAGCUCUAUAUACAUCUGGAAUAAGAACGUCAGGAGUAAAAACUUAGGUCAUUCAGCAUAUGGUAAAAGUAAAGCCAAGAUGGCGCAAAUUGACGUCCAGUGCUUAUGAAGAUUAUAAACAGUGUGCAUACUGCUUAUCCAAGCUGAGUCCAGUUUCUACCACAGAUCAUAACGCAAGUCAUGUUAUCAGUUCAUAAAGCCAUAGUAUUAUUUAUUUGGCACAUGCACUUCUUGUAGCUUGACAUCGUGGACCACAGUAGAAAGGGGCUGGCACUGGACUUCACUUUUUCGACGCAGAUUUUUACUCCAGAUAUGUAUAGAACUUACUGUGUUAUACAAACUGACCUAAAAACUAGGACUGGAUAGUGUCUCUGCUAUACAGGGUGUGUAAAAAAAAAGGUAAUCGAACUUCAGCGCGCUAUUGUAUCUGAAUUACUCUGCGUAUGAACGAGAUUUUUUCACAUUCGGAAAGAUCAUGCUUUUAGCUGUUGAAUGAUAUCUUCUUCAUGCCAAAUGGAUAAAAGAUGAGCAAAUACGAAUCCAAUAAAAAAUGUUAGUCUGAAUCGCAUAUUUUCACUGUUGGGAGUUGGGUCUAAAACCAUUGAAAAUGAACCCCCUUUGGCACUAAAGUUGAUGAAUUUCACUUCAAUAAACGACGCACAUAUUCAUAAUUAUUAUUAAGUAGGAAUAAAUCUUAGCUAAGCCACGACACGUUUGUGAUUAAUUGCUUUUUCUUUUGUUAUGCAUUGUUUUAAUUAGGCACAGAAGUGAAAAUAUGCGAUUUUGACUAACAUUUUUAAUCGACCUCGUACAUGCUUAUUUUUUCUCCAUUUGGCAUGAAAAGCAUGUCGUUCAAUAGCUAAAAGCCUGACCUUUCCGAAUAUGAAAACCAAUUGUUCAUACGCCGAGUAAUUCACGUAUAAUAGCGCGCUGAAGUUCGAUUACCUUUUAUAUACACCCUGUAUAUAAAUGAAGCCAAUUGCGACCAUACUGUUGCGACCAGCACAAAUCUACUGUGGUGCCGCUGUCAUGUUGAAAGGUUCCUACCCUUCCCCAUUCCUCUUUUUUUUGUACGGAAAGCAUAUUGUCUGCAUAGAAAUUGGUCGUUAAUGGUCUGUCAUAUUCUUAAACUUAAACUUGUAAGUGAAUAAAUAAUGAGUCACACCAAUUUGGCUGCCUAGAACGUCCUAGAAUUCAAGAUGAACAGGACAAAUUCCAAUAGACCUUUCCGCUUUUGAGUGAAAUUUUGAUCUAAACAAGUCUAGACAAAAAUGUCAUCACAGCUUGAAAGAGCAUCACAAAAUUAGUAAUAUUAGUAGUUUGAUCAUCUGAUUACCAAUUUCCCGUUUGUAAUGCAAAAUGACUGAAAAACGGCAAACUUUGCAAGGCUAUAUUAUCCGCAUUUUACAACAUUUCGCAACGAAACUUCGGAAGAUUACUAAUUUUGUGAUGCUCUUUUAAGCUAUGAUGAAAUUUUUGUCCAGACUUGUCUAGAUCAAAAUUUCACUCAAAAGGGGAAAGGUCUAUUAGAAGCACCAUACGACGCUCAAAAUCAUCAUUUCAAUCUUUUCAGAACGAACUAAUGCAAUUUUUUUAUUUUCUUGAUUCUUGAUAGGUUCUUAGAGUCGCCUCUUGAGGUCAAUGCGUAUUAUAGCCCUUUAGUAAAUGGAAUGAGUAAGUACCUUUCUUCGUUUGAAGUCUGAUGCCUUUUUGUCUUCCCUUUUCAUUCUUUUCUCUUUUUCUCUCACCCUCUUUUUCUUUUUAAUGCGCCUUUUUAAUUGCUUUAUUUCUUUC